AAGGUAAAGCGCUGGUCAAAAUGCAAGGCCAUUUUGUGUUAGGCGACUGCUUAAGAAAUGCCACGUUUGGUGCCUCAGUAAAAUCACCUCAGUUUUUCGGGGACUUCAAACUAAAGAUUCGUGUUUCAACAUGGCAACCUGACACUGCCCUGCAGAACUCGCAGGCGGUACCCAUCGGAAAUGAUAGUAGUAGCCAAUGACGUCAGAGAGGAUGAGACAGAUGACGUGAGUGAUGUGUCAUGGUGGCAAUUUUGAAAUUGAAUUUGGCGUUUGAUUUGAGGUUGUCCUGCGGAAAGUUAACUUAGAGGUCGAUGCAUUUUCAUGGAAAGAGAGGCAUGAAUUGCCACCAAUUUGACAACAGCGCUGCGGUAGUUUCAGCAAACCCUCUUGUAGAGGUUACAGCUUCUGUUUGGAAAUCAAACCGCUUAUAAGGAACGGAGAAAAUAGCAACGGCCCUAUGGGGAGUAGCUGAAGAAUGGACUGAGGGAGGAAUGAACCUCUACCCACGCUGGAUGUGUCACCAGCCUGUGCUAAAGUCAUAAACCGAAACCAGGAAAUCCACACGCCUGCCAGUUGCUGACGGACACGCCGUACGCCUCUGGGCGCAGCGUCAGCGAUGCGGAUCGGCUGGGCGUGUGAUUUCGGUCGUUACCGAACGCGGAAGGCACGCGGUGACACAGAGGGACGGAGAAGGAGGUCUGCGGGGAGGCAAGGACCCGUUUGUGUCCCGCUGCCAGGUCCAGUUGGGUCUCGGUACUGACUGGGGAAAGAGCCAAAAUGCAAACAGCACCUGUCCCAGCCACAGGGGGAAGAAGGUACAUUUGGGAUACUGCCUCCCGACCGAUGCUCAGCACCCUGGUGGCGGUGGUGUGAAGGGGGCGGGGGCGGGGGGGGGGGGUGUUUUGCUGGGAGGGGGUGUAAGUGGCACGAGAUGGAAUUUACUUCACCACCCUUCACCCCCUCACCUGGAGUCCGGGACACUGUGGUUAUCGGCGUGCGGCAAAAUGGGAUCGGGAGCGUGUGGAAUUAAAGGAAAUCGGGUCGGUUCUUUCACGCCACUUCAUCUGCCAGCUGCUUCCUGUUUGUGGACCUACUUCCUGAGCAAACCCUUUUAAGAUGGCCACCACCACCUCUGACACUGGACUACAUGUGAUUUGCCUUUUCUUUGAACUGUUGAACUCAGUGGGCGGAGUGUGCAUUGUGUAGCUGUAAGAUUAUCUUGACGGGUGUCAUAUUGUUCGACUCCGAAACAAUAAUCCACAGGACUGAGACAGUUUCUUAGAAAUCCCACCAUGUUCCGCGUUGUGUUAGAGUGUAUAUAGGUGUAGGUAUAGGUGAGUGCACCUGUCAUCCAUUACACCAAUUACCCUGCCCCUCCUCGGACUCGCCUGCCCAUCUUUACCUCAGCUGCUGAGUGCUGGCAUCUCUCUGACCUGCGAUUGACCUUUGACCUUCGCUUACCGUAUCUGUUGUGAGUGACACGCAGUUAGCGCUGGCGCUGAUAAGAGCUUAUCCGGUGGCCAGAGGCGUUUGUAAACGCGCUUGUCCUGUCCCAUCCUUGUCUGGGCCUUUAAAACUUCCAAUAAAAGGGGCGGAUGUGUGAAAUUGA